CAAUAGCGUAUAUUAAAGUUGUUGCGGUAAAAAAGCUCGUAGUUGGAUUUCUACCGAAGAUAGCCGGUCGGGUCUUCGACCUUGUAUCUGGUUUUGUCUUUGGUAUCCUCAUAGGGAACGUUUCUGCGCUUUAUUGCGUGGUGCGGUAUCUAUGACUUUUACUUUGAGGAAAUUAGAGUGUUCACGGCAGGCAAACGCCUUGAAUAUAUUGGCAUGGAAUAAUAACAUAGGAUCUUCGUCCUAUUUUGUUGGUUUCUAGGGCUAAGAUAAUGAUUAAUAGGGAUAAUUGGGGGCAUCUGUAUCAACGCGUCAGAGGUGGAAUUCUUGGAUUGCGUUGCGACAAACUACUGCGAAAGCAUUUGCCAAGGAUGUUUUCAUUGA
rnacentral:rRNA from 1 species